rnacentral:rRNA from 1 species
CACGUAGGAGGCGAGCGUUGUCCGGAAUCAUUGGGCGUAAAGAGCGCGCAGGCGGCUUGGCAAGUCGGGUGUGAAAUCCCGGGGCUCCAACCCGUGACUGCAUCCGAUACUGUCAGGCUAGAGGUAGGUAGGGGAGAUCGGAAUUCCUGGUGUAGCGGUGAAAUGCGCAGAUAUCAGGAGGAACACCGGUGGCGAAGGCGGAUCUCUGGGCCUUACCUGACGCUCAGGCGCGAAAGCUAGGGGAGCGAACAGG